GCCGCGUUAGCUCAGCUGGUAGAGCACAGCAUUCGUAAUGCUGGGGUCGGGUGUUCGAGUCACCCACGCGGCACCA
rnacentral:tRNA from 2 species